AUUGAACGCUGGCGGCAUGCUUUACACAUGCAAGUCGAACGGUAACAGGGUGCUUGCACCGCUGACGAGUGGCGAACGGGUGAGUAAUGCGUCGGAACGUGCCGAGUAGUGGGGGAUAACGCAGCGAAAGUUGUGCUAAUACCGCAUACGUACUGAGGUAGAAAGUGGGGGACCUUCGGGCCUCACGCUAUUCGAGCGGCCGACGUCUGAUUAGCUAGUAGGUGAGGUAAAGGCUCACCUAGGCGACGAUCAGUAGCGGGUCUGAGAGGAUGAUCCGCCACACUGGGACUGAGACACGGCCCAGACUCCUACGGGAGGCAGCAGUGGGGAAUUUUGGACAAUGGGCGAAAGCCUGAUCCAGCCAUGCCGCGUGUCUGAAAAAGGCCUUCGGGUUGUAAAGGACUUUGUCAGGGAGGAAAUCCCCAGCGCUAAUACCGCUGGGGGAUGACAGUACCUGAAGAAUAAGCACCGGCUAACUACGUGCCAGCCGCCGCGGUAA
rnacentral:rRNA from 1 species